rnacentral:rRNA from 1 species
GACCCCGCACAAGCAGCGGAGCGUGUGGUUUAAUUCGAUGGCACACGAAGAACCUUACCAGGGUUUGACAUGCAAGUGGUAGGAAUCCGAAAGGUGACCGACCCUUCGGGGAGCUUGCACAGGUGCUGCAUGGCUGUCGUCAGCUCGUGUCGUGAGAUGUUCGGUUAAGUCCGCUAACGAGCGCAACCCUCGUCGUGUGUUAUACGUGUCACACGAUACUGCCGGUAUCAAGCCGGAGGAAGGUGGGGAUGAUGUCAAGUCAGCAUGGCCUUUAUAUCCUGGGCUACACACACGCUACAAUGGCAGAUACAAUAGGUCGCGAAACCGCGAGGUGGAGCCAAUCCUCAAAGUCUGUCUCAGUUCAGAUUGUAGGCUGCAACUCGCCUGCAUGAAGUCGGAGUUGCUAGUAAACGCAGGUCAGCUAUACUGCGUUGAAUACGUUCCCGGGGUUU